GGUCAUAAACACAAACCGUAUGAAUAAAAUGAAAAAUCUUACUUUGCAUUAGUGGUUAUUAUAACUGCCAGAAUACAAGUGGGCUACAAAAAGAGCAUCUAAAUUCCAACACAUCUAGCACAGUAAAAUGGUAAAAGUCUUGUUUACACCACAAAUGUUUAGGAGGUAAGAUAUAUUUAAAUCAUGCAGAAUAACACACUAAAGGUGAAUAUGUUUUAGCUCUUCCAAGUCAUAGUAUAUAAAAUAA